rnacentral:rRNA from 1 species
AGUGAACGCUGGCGGUAUGCCUAACACAUGCAAGUCGAACGGCAGCACAGUAACUUCUUGCUCUUACGGGUGGCGAGUGGCGGACGGGUGAGGUAGACAUCGGAAUCUACUCUUUCGUGGGGGCUAACGUAGGGAAACUUACUCUAAUACCGCAUACCACCUACGGGGGAAAGCAGGGGAUCUUCUGACCUUGCGCGAUUGAAUGAGCCGAUGUCGGAUUAGCUAGUUGGCGGGGUAAAGGCCCACCAAGGCGACUAUCCGUAGCGGGUCUGAGGGGAUGGUGAGGCACACUGGAAGUGAGCCGCGGUACAGACUCCUAGGGACGGCAGCGGCGGGGAAUAUUGGACGAUGGGGGGAAGCCUGAUCCAGCCAUACCGGGUGGGUGAAGAAGGCCUGCGGGUUGUAAAGCCCUUUUGUUGGGAAAGAAAAGCAGCAGGUUAAUACCCCGCUGUUCUGACGGUACCCAAAGAAUAAGCACCGGCUAACUUCGUG